UAGUCAUACGCUUGUCUCAAGGAUUAAGCCAUGCAUGUCUAAGUAUAAAGGUUAUAAUGAAACUGCAAAUGGCUCAUUCAAACAGUUAUAGUUUAUUUGAUAUUCAAGCUAAUAUUCUUAUUAGUUUAAAUGGAUAACCGUAGUAAUUCUAGAGCUAAUACAUGCGUUACGGGGAACUUUACGGAACCCCAGCGUUUAUUAGAUUUAAACCAAUAUUCCGCAAGGUCUACUGAGAUGAUUCAUGAUAACUGAUCGAAUGCUGGAACUCCAGCAUAAUCAUGUAUGUUUCUGCUUCCCAUCAGCUUGAUGGUAGUGUAUUGGACAACCAUGGCAUUCACGGGCUAUCGGGGGAUUAGGGUUCGAUUCCGGAGAGGGAGCCUGAUAAACGGCUACCACUUCUACGGAAGGCAGCAGGCGCGAAAAUUAUCCAAUCCUGACUCAGGGAGGUAGUGAAAGAAAUAAUGAACUAGGAUUUAUCCUGGGAUCACAAUGGGCUUGAUUUGCAAACACUUAGCGAGGAACAAUUGGAGGGCAAGUCUGGUGCCAGCAGCCGCGGUAAUUCCAGCUCCAAUAGAGUAUAUAAACGUUCCUGCAGUUAUUCGAUGCUCGUAGUUGGAUUUCUGAGGUUGAGACGGGAGGGUGGCUAUGGCCAUCGCCCGACUCUUUCCUCAUCCACCUGUUUGCGAAUCCCGGGAUUGAUUUCUCGGUUUCGGGCGCAGGAUCUUACCAUUUCAUAUUGCGUAGUCUUCAUCGAUUAUGUUGUUUCUUUGAGCAAAUUAUAGUGUUUCAGGCAGGCGUGCGCCGGAAUACGUUAGCAUGGUAUAAACGAAUUGGACCGUGUGCCCGUAACUGGGCUUCUCCUUAUUGUUGGUUUGAAGGACACGGAGAUGGUUAAUAGGGACAGAAUUUAUUCAGGGGGAGGCAUUAGUAUUUAAUUUCCAGAGGUGAAAUUCUUUGAAAUAUUAAAGACUAACAUAUGCGAAAGCAUUCUUUGCCAAUGAUGUUUUCAUUAAUCAUUGAACGAAAGUUAGGGGAUCAAAGACGAUCAGAUACCGUCCUAGUCUUAACCAUAAACGUUGCCGACUAGGGAUCGGAGGGCGUGCACAUUCCGCCUUCGGCACCUUACGAGAAAUCAAAGUCUUUUGGGUUCUGUGGGUAGUAUGGUCGCAAGGCUGAAACUUAAAGGAAUUGACGGAAGGGCACCACCAGGAGUGGAGCUUGCGGCUCAAUUUGACUCAACACGGGAAAUCUUACCAGGUCCAGACAUAGCGAGGAUUGACAGAUUGAUAGCUCUUUCUUGAUUCUAUGGGUAUUUU
rnacentral:rRNA from 1 species